AGCUCCAAUAGCGUAUAUUAAAGUUGUUGCGGUUAAAAAGCUCGUAGUUGGAUCUCGGUUUCGGGCGGAUGGUUCAGAUUUCGUCUGUUACUGUCUGCCCGGACGAUUUUGGUGGUUCGUUCGUGGUUCUCUUAACCGAGUGCCACGGGUGGCCAUCACGUUUACUUUGAAAAAAUUGGAGUGCUCAAAGCAGGCGCUACAGCCUGAACAAGAGUGCAUGGAAUAAUGGAAUAGGAUCUCGGUUCUAUUUCGUUGGUUUUCGGAAUCGAGGUGAUGGUUAAUAGGAACAGACGGGGGCAUUCGUACUGCGACGUUAGAGGUGAAAUUCUUGGAUCGUCGCAAGACGAACUACUGCGAAAGCAUUUGCCAAGAAUGUUUUCA
rnacentral:rRNA from 1 species